AAAAUGACUCUCGGCAACGGAUAUCUAGGCUCUCGCAUCGAUGAAGAACGUAGCGAAAUGCGAUACUUGGUGUGAAUUGCAGAAUCCCGUGAAUCAUCGAGUUUUUGAACGCAAGUUGCGCCCGAAGCCAUUAGGCUGAGGGCACGUCUGCCUGGGCGUCA
rnacentral:rRNA from 1 species